UUAGUCUCCAGGCGACCAAAUCUCCCCAAAACGCCCUGUGUGGCCUGACCCUAACAGGGCCAGUCUCUGAUUUGGAACAGCCAGUGGCCGCUGAGCAAUACAGAAAGGAGCCUUGGACCUGGAAGUUUGUGAAAGGAGUGGGUCAAGUCCUGUUUUUUGACUUUUUAAUCCAUAUUUGAUCAGAAAGGUACACAAAUAAAAAUGAAUAAUUCAUUUUCAUGUUAAUUAGCAUGCUUUAGUCCAUUGUUAAAUGUUAUGGUAUAUGUCCCAUUAAAGGUGGCCAUACAAACAGA